AACGCUAGCUACAGGCUUAACACAUGCAAGUCGAGGGGCAGCAUGAACUUAGCUUGCUAAGUUUGAUGGCGACCGGCGCACGGGUGAGUAACGCGUAUCCAACCUUCCGUACACUCAGGAAUAGCCUUUCGAAAGAAAGAUUAAUACCUGAUGGUAUGAUGAGAUUGCAUGAAAUCAUCAUUAAAGAUUCAUCGGUGUACGAUGGGGAUGCGUUCCAUUAGAUAGUAGGCGGGGUAACGGCCCACCUAGUCGACGAUGGAUAGGGGUUCUGAGAGGAAGGUCCCCCACAUUGGAACUGAGACACGGUCCAAACUCCUACGGGAGGCAGCAGUGAGGAAUAUUGGUCAAUGGGCGCGAGCCUGAACCAGCCAAGUAGCGUGAAGGAUGAAGGUCCUACGGAUUGUAAACUUCUUUUAUAAGGGAAUAAAGUCACCUACGUGUAGGUGUUUGUAUGUACCUUAUGAAUAAGCAUCGGCUAACUCCGUGCCAGCAGCCGCGGUAAUACGGAGGAUGCGAGCGUUAUCCGGAUUUAUUGGGUUUAAAGGGAGCGUAGACGGGUCGUUAAGUCAGCUGUGAAAGUUUGAGGCUCAACCUUAAAAUUGCAGUUGAUACUGGCGUCCUUGAGUACGGUUGAGGCAGGCGGAAUUCGUGGUGUAGCGGUGANAUGCAUAGAUAUCACGAAGAACUCCGAUUG
rnacentral:rRNA from 1 species